rfam:Phytophthora infestans T30-4 supercont1.38 genomic scaffold, whole genome shotgun sequence.
AGCUCAGCGGUUGAACACUCGCUUUACAAGCGAUAGGUCGGUGGUUCGAGCCCACC